CGGGGUGCACCAGGCGCGAAAACUUUACAAUGCUGGCAACAGCGAUAAGGGGACCUCGAGUGCCAGGAUACAAUCUUGGCUGUCGCGAUGCCUAAAAAGCAUUGCAUAGCAAGGGCCGGGCAAGACCGGUGCCAGCCGCCGCGGUAACACCGGCGGCUCGAGUGGUAACCGCUAUUAUUGGGUCUAAAGGGUCUGUAGCCGGCCGGAUAAGUCUCUUGGGAAAUCCAGCAGCUCAACUGUUGGGCUUUCAGGAGAUACUGUUCGGCUCGAGACCGGGAGAGGUGAGAGGUACUUCAGGGGUAGGGGUGAAAUCUUGUAAUCCUUGAAGGACCACCAGUGGCGAAGGCGUCUCACCAGAACGGAUCUGACGGCAAGGGACGAAAGCUAGGGGCACGAACCGGAUUAGAUACCCGGGUAGUCCUAGCCGUAAACGAUACUCGCUAGGUGUCAGCCACGGUGCGACCGUGGUUGGUGCCGUAGGGAAGCCGUGAAGCGAGCCACCUGGGAAGUACGGCCGCAAGGCUGAAACUUAAAGGAAUUGGCGGGGGAGCACAAGGGCAAUUCGC
rnacentral:rRNA from 1 species